AUGCGGCAACACCCGGCCGGCCAGCAGACUGACCGACCAGCAAAAGGGCGACAGUGGCUGCUUCAGAGCGGCCGGAGGGACCCAGCGGACACCUGUCCAGAAAGUCACCCUGGAGCCACCGUGCUGGCACAAAAGACCAGAAACCCUCGGCUGGAUGAAGGUCAGCGACAGUAUCCACGGGCAAGCUGCGCUCGGUCCCUGGGGGGCGAGCGAGUGACCCGCGCCCAGAGCAACGGGCACGCGCCUCCCGGAGCGGGCCUGAGGAAGACGCCAGACAGGAAACGCGCCCGGCAUAGCCGAGUUUCUGUGAGGGCCUCAGAGGCCCGGCCACCGACCGCAGCCGUCCUAGACGGGACCCGGGGGCCUGCUGGACACCCUGCGGUUGUCUCAACCAGGGUCUGCCGGCUUCCGGGAGAAGAGCGCUGCCCAGGACAGCUGCCGCCCGCACUCAGCCGGGUGGGCGCCCAGGUCUGGUCCGCGGUGUCGACAGCAAGGCGGAGAACCCGUUCCCUCCAGGCCGCACCCGUGCGCCCGGCGCCCCUGGUCUUCACCCCCGUGGGCUCUUUCAUUCACCACGGCCAGGCCUGCAGGACACAGGCAGAUGCAGGCAAGACCCUGGAGCUGGCAGUGGUCGUCGGUGAUGUCGGAGCAGCCUUUGACCCAGAGCGUGAACACUACGGUGGUCCCUAGAGGCGGGGGCACCUGAGCGCCUCGGCCCAGCAAGCAGCACCAGCACCCAGUCAGCUGCACGGCCAGGGCCGCGGGGCUCGGAACUUGCCUGCCUCUCCAGGCUUGAAAAGGAAUACACUACAAUAAAAACUAAAGAAAUGGAAGAACAAGUUGAAAUUAAAGUAAGCACUUCAGGACUUUUUAAAGUUCCAGAGAUAAAUUAAUUAAAGUCAGUAAUUUGGCAAUAAAUGUUAGGUUAUAUGGAUAUAUUGUUACCAUCUGUAGUGAAUUUAGCAAUGAAGAUUAUAUUUAUUAUAUGCACUGAUAAAUUUAUUUACCAUUCUACUAGAUUGUAGUUAAAAAUAGAUAUUUCAAAAGACACAAUGAUGUAACUGAAGUGACUUUCAUGUGAAAGAGAGCAACUCGUCUUUAUUCUUGGAUUUGUUGGUGAGUCAGCAGUAGAAAAUACUCCAUGGGGAAGAUAAUUAUUCCAUUUAGGCAGUUACAUAUGAUAGUCUCUGCCAGGACUGCAAUUAACAUCCAUGCCUGAUGCCCACAUGGCCCUGGGGAAGCCUGCUCCCCCUGCUGGUGAGGAGCAGACCUGCAAGGCUCUGAGCUCUGCAGGACCUGCCCCUGCCAGGGACCCACCCAUGAGGGUCCUGGCCUGCAGCUGUGGGACCUGGUCUGCUGUGUAGCCCCAGGAGAACCCAUUGCUUUCAUCAGAAAGGACGAUUGUUGGAUUUGGAAGCCGAAUGUGACACUUUCCACCAGGGGACCCCGCCCGCUAAGUUAGCACUGCGCCAAGUGUGACAGGUAGAGGAGUUCAGGUGUGCAGAGGCCACCCCACCCCCACCUGUGGAAUGAAGCAGCCUGGUGACUGACAGCCAGCACAGGUGGAGGCCCUGGGCCAGCAGCAGGGGAAGCAGCCCUGCCCUGAGAAGGCAGCCCUGAGACAGCACUGGAGCCUCUCUCCCGCUCACAGGCAUUCUGGCCCCGUCCCUGUGUCAGGGCGCCUCCCCCACCUCUCUGUGAACCUGCAUCUCAGGACCCCUGGAGGAACUGGAUCCCAAGACAUACCUUGCACGACUUCUGCAAGCCCAUCGACACAGCGUUCUCCUGGGUUACAUGGCAGGUUUAUCUCUACACAUGGGGGCAUCAUUAACUCCUAUGCAAGAAGGGCACUGUGCAUCGCCGGUCCCUACAGUCAGAUAGUCUGCGAGGGAAGAGGCCUUAUCAUGACCGUGCUGUCAGGACGGAGCCACUGCAUCCUGGCCUCCACACCACGCUGGCCACCACUGAUGACCCAGACCCCCCAGGUCUGCCCCGAUAGCCCGCCCAGUCUCUGAGCGUGUGGGGUAUAGGCUGAGAAGAGAAAGGAGGGCCCAGCCUGUCCUGACUGUUGGUGUACUGGUAUGUGACUGCUGCUAAAUCUGUUUUCAAGCAGGAGAAAGAAAUAAACCUCGUUUUUAAAACACAGGGCUUUGGGGUACUGGCACUGUAGGGUAGCACAUAGGGCUGCCGCCUGCAGUGCCAGCAUCUCAUAUGAGUCCCAGCUGCUCCUCUUCUGAUCCAGCUCUCUGCUAUGGAUGGGAAAGCAGAGGAGGAUGACCCAGGAGCUUGGGCCCUGCACCCACCUGGGAGACCUGGAAGAAGCUCCUGGCUCCAGCCUUAAGAUCAGAAAAGCUCCAUGGCCGGUGCCGCGGCUCAAUAGGCUAAUCCUCCACCUAGCGGCGCCUGCACACGAGGUUCUAGUCCCGGUCGGGGCGCCGGAUUCUUUCCCGGUUGCCCCUCUUCCAGGCCAGCUCUCUGCUGUGGCCCGGGAAGGCAGUGGAGGAUGGCCCAAGUGCUUGGUCCCUGCACCCCAUGGGAGACCAGGAGAAGCACCUGGCUCCUGCCUUCGGAUCAGCACGGUGCGCUGGCCGCAGCACGCCAGCCGUGGCGGCCAUUGGAGGGUGAACAACGGCAAAAAGGAAGACCUUUCUCUCUCUCUCUCUCUCUCUCUCUCUCUCUCACUAUCCAUUCUGCCUGUCAAAAAAAAAAGAAAAAGAAAAAGAA